AAAGGGCCGCGGUAUUUUGACCGUGCGAAGGUAGCAUAAUCAUUAGUCUUUUAAUUGGAGGCUUGUAUGAAUGGUUGGACAAAAAAUAAGCUGUCUCUGUUUUAUUUCUUGAAUUUAACUUUUAAGUGAAAAGGCUUAAAUGUUCUAGGGGGACGAUAAGACCCUAUAAAGCUUUACAGCGUAUUAAUUAAAUUUUAAAUUGUUAGUAUUAACUUAAUUUAUUUAAUAACUGUUUCGUUGGGGCGACGAAAAUAUAAUAAAUAGUAACUGUUUUUCUUUAUAAAAUAACAAUAAGUUUUUGGAAGUAAUUGAUCCUUUCUUAAAGAUUAAAAGAUUAAGUUACUUUAGGGAUAACAGCGUAAUCUUCUUUGAGAGUUCAUAUCGACAAGAAGGGUUGCGA
rnacentral:rRNA from 1 species